UUCCGGUUGAUCCCGCCGGACCUGACUGCUAUCGGAUUGAUACUAAGCCAUGCGAGUCUUUGUAGUAAUACAAGGCAUACGGCUCAGUAACGCGUAGUCAACCUACCCUAUGGACAAGAAUAAUCUCGGGAAACUGAGCAUAAUUCUUGAUAGAUCAUAAUGCCUGGAAUGGUUUAUGGUUAAAAUGAUUCGUCGCCAUAGGAUGGGACUGCGGCCUAUCAGCUUGUUGGUGAGGUAAUGGCCCACCAAGGCGAUAACAGGUACGGGCUCUGAGAGGAGAAGCCCGGAGAUGGGUACUGAGACAAGGACCCAGGCCCUAUGGGGCGCAGCAGGCGAGAAAACUUUGCAAUGUGCGAAAGCACGACAAGGUUAGUCCGAGUGAUUUCUGCUAAAGAGAUCUUUUGCUAGUUAUAAAACCACUAGUGAAUAAGGGGUGGGCAAGUUCUGGUGUCAGCCGCCGCGGUAAAACCAGCACCUCAAGUGGUCAGGAUGAUUAUUGGGCCUAAAGCAUCCGUAGCCGGCUCUGUAAGUUUUCGGUUAAAUCUAUACGCUUAACGUAUGGGCUGCCGAAAAUACUGUAGAGAUAGGGAGUGGGAGAGGUAGACGGUACUCGGUAGGAAGGGGUAAAAUCCUUUGAUCUAUCGAUGACCACCUGUGGCGAAGGCGGUCUACCAGAACACGUUCGACGGUGAGGGAUGAAAGCUGGGGGAGCAAACCGGAUUAGAUACCCGGGUAGUCCCAGCUGUAAACGAUGCAGACUCGAUGAUGCAUUGGCAUAUAGCCAGUGCAGUGUCGCAGGGAAGCCGUUAAGUCUGCCGCCUGGGAAGUACGUACGCAAGUAUGAAACUUAAAGGAAUUGGCGGGGGAGCACCACAAGGGGUGAAGCCUGCGGUUCAAUUGGAUUCAACGCCGGG
rnacentral:rRNA from 1 species